rnacentral:rRNA from 1 species
CAGCACUAAGUGGGUGGUAAACUCCAUCUAAAACUAAAUAUAACCAUGAGACCGAUAGCAAACAAGUACCGUGAGGGAAAGUUGAAAAGAACUCUGAAUAGAGAGUUAAAUAGUACGUGAAACUGCUUAGAGGUUAAGCCCGAUGAACCUGAAUAUCCGUUGUAGAAAAUUCAUCAUCAAGUCUCUAAUAUUUAUUAAAUAUUGGAUGAGUGGUGUGCACUUUUUCUACUUAAGGACAUUGUAAUCUAUUAAUGUUUAAAUGCGUAUUAUAAGAACAUGUACACUAGUUUAUGAAUUAUUGGCUUGCUAAUGUUUAUAAAGGUAUGUGCUUCGAAUAUGCCAUUGAUAGAUUUUUAGUAUAUUGUACUUAAAUCUUUUGAUUUUAUAAUAAUAUGAUUUUCAUUGAAUUUUGUAUUUAUUAUAUGUACAUAUAUGAUUGACAAUGCGAAAGAUUCAGGAUACCUUCGGGACCC